rnacentral:rRNA from 1 species
UACGUAGGGUGCAAGCGUUGUCCGGAAUUAUUGGGCGUAAAGAGCCCGUAGGCGGUUUGUCGCGUCUGCUGUGAAAACUCGGGGCUUAACUCCGGGCCUGCAGUGGGUACGGGCAGACUAGAGUGCGGUAGGGGAGACUGGAAUUCCUGGUGUAGCGGUGAAAUGCGCAGAUAUCAGGAGGAACACCGAUGGCGAAGGCAGGUCUCUGGGCCACUACUGACGCUGAGAAGCGAAAGCAUGGGGAGCGAACAGG